AACGAGCGCAACCCUCGUCCUAUGUUGCCAGCGAGUAAUGUCGGGGACUCAUAGGAGACUGCCGGGGUCAACUCGGAGGAAGGUGGGGAUGACGUCAAGUCAUCAUGCCCCUUAUGUCCAGGGCUGCACGCAUGCUACAAUGGCCGGUACAAAGGGCUGCNAAACCGCAAGGUGGAGCGAAUCCCAAAAAGCCGGUCUCAGUUCGGAUUGGGGUCUGCAACUCGACCCCAUGAAGUCGGAGUCGCUAGUAAUCGCAGAUCAGCAACGCUGCGGUGAAUACGUUCCCGGGCCUUGUACACAC
rnacentral:rRNA from 1 species